rnacentral:rRNA from 1 species
GAUGAACGCUGGCGGCGUGCCUAAUACAUGCAAGUCGAGCGAACGGACGAGAAGCUUGCUUCUCUGAUGUUAGCGGCGGACGGGUGAGUAACACGUGGAUAACCUACCUAUAAGACUGGGAUAACUUCGGGAAACCGGAGCUAAUACCGGAUAAUAUUUUGAACCGCAUGGUUCAAAAGUGAAAGACGGUCUUGCUGUCACUUAUAGAUGGAUCCGCGCUGCAUUAGCUAGUUGGUAAGGUAACGGCUUACCAAGGCAACGAUGCAUAGCCGACCUGAGAGGGUGAUCGGCCACACUGGAACUGAGACACGGUCCAGACUCCUACGGGAGGCAGCAGUAGGGAAUCUUCCGCAAUGGGCGAAAGCCUGACGGAGCAACGCCGCGUGAGUGAUGAAGGUCUUCGGAUCGUAAAACUCUGUUAUUAGGGAAGAACAUAUGUGUAAGUAACUGUGCACAUCUUGACGGUACCUAAUCAGAAAGCCACGGCUAACUACGUGCCAGCAGCCGCGGUAAUACGUAGGUGGCAAGCGUUAUCCGGAAUUAUUGGGCGUAAAGCGCGCGUAGGCGGUUUUUUAAGUCUGAUGUGAAAGCCCACGGCUCAACCGUGGAGGGUCAUUGGAAACUGGAAAACUUGAGUGCAGAAGAGGAAAGUGGAAUUCCAUGUGUAGCGGUGAAAUGCGCAGAGAUAUGGAGGAACACCAGUGGCGAAGGCGACUUUCUGGUCUGUAACUGACGCUGAUGUGCGAAAGCGUGGGGAUCAAACAGGAUUAGAUACCCUGGUAGUCCACGCCGUAAACGAUGAGUGCUAAGUGUUAGGGGGUUUCCGCCUCUUAGUGCUGCAGCUAACGCAUUAAGCACUCCGCCUGGGGAGUACGACCGCAAGGUUGAAACUCAAAGGAAUUGACGGGGACCCGCACAAGCGGUGGAGCAUGUGGUUUAAUUCGAAGCAACGCGAAGAACCUUACCAAAUCUUGACAUCCUUUGACAACUCUAGAGAUAGAGCCUUCCCCUUCGGGGGGGCAAAGUGACAGGUGGUGCAUGGUUGUCGUCAGCUCGUGUCGUGAGAUGUUGGGUUAAGUCCCGCAACGAGCGCAACCCUUAAGCUUAGUUGCCAUCAUUAAGUUGGGCACUCUAAGUUGACUGCCGGUGACAAACCGGAGGAAGGUGGGGAUGACGUCAAAUCAUCAUGCCCCUUAUGAUUUGGGCUACACACGUGCUACAAUGGACAAUACAAAGGGCAGCGAAACCGCGAGGUCAAGCAAAUCCCAUAAAGUUGUUCUCAGUUCGGAUUGUAGUCUGCAACUCGACUACAUGAAGCUGGAAUCGCUAGUAAUCGUAGAUCAGCAUGCUACGGUGAAUACGUUCCCGGGUCU